GAGAGGAGAAGAGUUGGGCAAUGCAACUUGACUGAAAGAAGGUGUAGAAGUUUUGUGUGUGUCGACACUGAAGGACAUAGAGUCAGGAUUGAACUGCGAAAUAGACUGAACUUGUCUUUGUUUUUCAUCAUUGAGGAGAAUGUUAUAGACAAUGUCAAGACUAGGAGGAGGCUGCAUCACCAGCAAGUUGCUCCUCACCCCCAUAUAUGUCUCAUUAAGGCCCAUAAGGAAUUGAAACACAUUAUUCUCCUCAUCCUCCUUUAUGAUCCAGGUUUGGCAGCACAAAUACAUCUUUGGCCAUGAUUUGUGCAUACUGCUCCUAACUCAUCC
rnacentral:lncRNA from 1 species